rnacentral:lncRNA from 1 species
GCUUUCCAAAUCUCUUCUGUUUGGAAGCUAAAUUUACUGUUAAAUAAUCGAAUGUUUUGACAGUAAAUCAAAAAAAUUCAGAAAUACUUUAAUUAAAUAAAUUAAGCAUUGAAUGUCAAAUGUUUAAUCCAAAAUAGUCUUAUUUGGGAAAUAUACACCUUUAAAUAUAUUUAUCAGGAAAUGAAAUCAAGAAAAUAUCAUACUAAUAAAACGAAUAUCAGGUUAUUGGAAAAGAUUAAUUAGUUAGAGAGAAAAAAGGAGAAGAUGCCAGUAACAAAACACAAAAUUAACACUGGGAAAUAACAAAAAUAAUGGAUAUUUUUAAAAUGACUAAAAAUAUAAUGUGACAAAUUUGAAUCUAUAGAUGAAAUAAAUAAAUUCUUAGAAAAUAUACAAUUCCAAAACUGGUGCAGGAAAGACUAGGGGCCCUGGAUGUGGAAAUAAAUUUUAAAGAAGUUGAGAAGUUUUGUCAAGGACUGUCCUUGCCUAAUACUGUUGGCCCCAGUGAGUUUGCAGGUGAGCUCUCCUGAACUAUAAGGAACAACUGGAACCUUAUACACGUUCUUCAAAAAACAGAAAAAUAUAUAUAUAAUCGACUGCAGUCAUUUCCUCAGGUUAAUGCAAUCUCGAUUCUAAAGCCAGGUAGAAUGUUUCUAAGAGCACACAUUUGCAUUUCCCCUAUCCGUAUGAAUUUUAAAAUCCAUCAUAAGACGUAACCUAGUCAAAUGCAACAGUUUAUGAAAAACAGUAUAUUGUGAUCACGUGGUGUGGGAAGAUCCCAUGAAUGAGAAGGAUGUUUGGACAUCAGAAAACCUGUCAUGUGACUCAUCAUAUAAAUAAAGUAAAAAAGAAAACUCAUAUAAUCAUUACAAUCAGCCAGGAUGAUUGUAAAAUUCAACUCCUAUUCAUGGUUUUAUGAAAGGUCUCUUCACUGCAUGAAAUAGAAGGGGUCUUUCUUAGCUAGAUACAGAAUAUGUACUACAAAAUUAGCAAAUCCUGUACUAAAUGGGGAAACUAGAUGCAGUGUCUUAGGAUCAGGCACAGGCCCAGGCUACUCACUGUCUCUGCUGCUCUUCAGCAUGGAACUGGCCGUCAUGGGCGGGGCUGUAAGGAGAGGAAAAGAAGGGGCGUCAGGAUGGGAAGGGAAGAAACGUGAUCGUCUACCCGGAGAAGAUCCAAGCGGCAGGACGGGACACAGAGAACGACAGGAGAACACAA